UAGCAACAUUGCCUGGCUAAAGGGCUGCUGAGAAUGACUCGGAGAAAUACCAAAUAUCCAGAGCAUACAGAGCAAGGACCACUCUCCUCCAGCACUGCAAAACGUGUGCACUCUCCUUACUACACAGGAGGAGUCUCUGACAGAAACAGAGGAGAAGGAGGUAAGUAUUCAGAAGGCCACAGACCCAGGAGAGAAGGCUGGAUGGAAGAGAUCAACAGAUACCUCAGACAGUGAUGCUACCAUGAGGGGUUUGGUUACCUUGACCACAACAUGCACUUCAGAGAGAGAGGACUUCUAGGAUGAGAUGGCAUUUACCUCAUGCAGACAGGACAGCAUGCCUGGCACACAGGUGGCUACAACAAGGGAUAGAGAAGAGGGAGAAGACCUGGCAGACAUUCCCAGCAGGGCAGAGCUGCUGCCCUGGAAGAGCCUGGAGCCUCCUCACUAGGGGAAGGAAGAAAACUGGAUGAAGCCAGCAGUUUCACUCCACAGCACACCUGCCCUGCUAAAAUUCCCUUCAACUGGAGAGGGGAGUACAUAAUUGGGUACUACCUGGGCUACACCAAUAAUGUCCUUCAGAAACAGAGAAAAUACAUUAUUUAAAAUAUGCUUUCUAGCUGAAGGUAGAUACUGACAAGACUCAUGUCUUUAUUAUUCAUUUUUUUUUAAUAUGAUGUAAGAGAGACAAAAUUAAAGCACCCUGUCAAUGUCCACCAAGGUUCACAAAAGGGCUCCUGUAGUUGCUUUGUCUGAGACUAGAAUUUGUUUAUUUUGGGAGGAGCAAUUACUCCCUAGUCCAAUGGAUCUCAAACUUUUACAUAUCAUUGUGAAUUAUUUCUGAAAAUAGGGCACUUCCUCUCCUAAUUCCAAUUUGUCACCUUCCCUGUGGCUAUUGUAGUUCUUGGUUAAAUGAGAACAGAAAAAGUGCAAUAUUAAAGAGACAAAGUUAAAUUAAACUUCCUUCAGUUUUUGGAUUCUACUUCAGAUACACACACACACACACACACGUAUAUAAUUUUUUCCUCUUUUUAUUUUGACAUUUUACAUCAUAAUGCCAAACAAAGGUACUGUAGUUACCUUGGGUUGCUUUAUAUUUCACUCCUAUUUUUU